rnacentral:pre_miRNA from 1 species
UGUGGCGACCAUUUGCGGUGCAACUCUCCUUGGGCUGGCAGGAAUACGGACUUAUAAUAAGAACGCCACUCUACCCAUGGCAUCAUCAUGAAUGAUUAUUGGAGGCGGCUAGUCUAUUCCACAUCCGCCAAAGGAGAGUUGCCCUGCGAUUGCUCUUCACA